rnacentral:rRNA from 1 species
AGAGUUUGAUCCUGGCUCAGGAUAAACGCUGGCGGCGUGCCUUAUGCAUGCAAGUCGAACGGUCUUGAUUUAUCGAGACAGUGGCAAACGGGUGAGUAACACGUAAGUAACCUAUCCCUAAGUAGGGGAUAACUCUGAGAAAUCGGAGCUAAUACCGUAUGUGGUGAUGGGGGUAAUGCCUCAACACUAAAGCCUUCGGGCGCCUGGGGAGGGGCUUGCGGCCGAUUAGCUAGUUGGUAGGGUAACGGCCUACCAAGGCGAUAAUCGGUAGCUGGUCUGAGAGGACAUUCAGCCACACUGGGACUGCGACACGGCCCAGACUCCUACGGGAGGCAGCAGCAAGGAAUAUUGCGCAAUGGGCGAAAGCCUGACGCAGCGACGCCGCGUGGGGGAUGAAGGCCUUCGGGUUGUAAACCCCUUUUCUCAGGGAAGAAUAAUGACGGUACCUGAGGAAUAAGUCACGGCUAACUACGUGCCAGCAGCCGCGGUAAUACGUAGGUGGCUAGCGUUAUCCGGAUUUACUGGGCGUAAAGAGGGCGCAGGCGGCUUUUCAAGUCGGAUGUAAAAUCUCUCAGCUUAACUGGGAGAGACCAUUCGAUACUGUUAAGCUAGAGGACAACAGGGGGAGGUGGAAUUCCCGGUGUAGUGGUGAAAUGCGUAGAUAUCGGGAGGAACACCAGUGGCGAAGGCGACCUCCUGGGUUGUUGCUGACGCUUAAGCCCGAAGGCGUGGGGAGCAAACAGGAUUAGAUACCCUGGUAGUCC